rfam:Agrilus planipennis Contig17532, whole genome shotgun sequence.
UUGUUUCUAGAACGGUCUGAGGUAGAGGGGUUUUAGUCAGUAGGUCCGAGGACUUCUUCCUCAGAAAUCCGACACCACCCAGUCGUUCGGACGGUUGGGUGUCUUUUGAAGAUUUCCCCUCUUCCACGA